AAAUUGAAGAGUUUGAUCAUGGCUCAGAUUGAACGCUGGCGGCAGGCCUAACACAUGCAAGUCGAACGGUAACAGGAAGAAGCUUGCUUCUUCGCUGACGAGUGGCGGACGGGUGAGUAAUGUCUGGGAAACUGCCUGAUGGAGGGGGAUAACUACUGGAAACGGUAGCUAAUACCGCAUAACGUCGCAAGACCAAAGAGGGGGACCUUCGGGCCUCUUGCCAUCGGAUGUGCCCAGAUGGGAUUAGCUUGUUGGUGGGGUAACGGCUCACCAAGGCGACGAUCCCUAGCUGGUCUGAGAGGAUGACCAGCCACACUGGAACUGAGACACGGUCCAGACUCCUACGGGAG
rnacentral:rRNA from 1 species